rnacentral:siRNA from 1 species
CAUACGUGAUAUGAAGCGGUUCA